GACAGAGGGUGCAAACGUUGUUCGGAAUUUCUGGGCGUAAAGCGCGUGUAGGCGGUCCGCUCAGUCUGAUGUGAAAGCCCGGGGCUCACCCCCGGAAGGGCAUUGGAAACUGGCGGACUCGAGUCCCGGAGAGGAAGGUGGAAUUCCUGGUGUAGCGGUGAAAUGCGCAGAUAUCAGGAGGAACACCGGUGGCGAAGGCGGGUCUCUGGGCCGAUACUGACGCUGAGGAGCGAAAGCGUGGGGAGCGAACAGG
rnacentral:rRNA from 1 species